CCUACGGGAGGCAGCAGUGAGGAAUAUUGGUCAAUGGACGAGAGUCUGAACCAGCCAAGUAGCGUGAAGGAUGACUGCCCUAUGGGUUGUAAACUUCUUUUAUAUGGGAAUAACAAGUUCCACGUGUGGGAUUUUGUAUGUACCAUAUGAAUAAGGAUCGGCUAACUCCGUGCCAGCAGCCGCGGUAAUACGGAGGAUCCGAGCGUUCUCCGGAUUUAUUGGGUUUAAAGGGAGCGUAGGAGGAUUUUUAAGUCAGUGGUGAAAGGUAGCGGCUCAACCGUGAAAUUGCAGUUGAAAAUGGCAGUCGUGAGUACAGUAGAGGUGGGCGGAAUUCGUGGUGUAGCGGUGAAAUGCUUAGAUAUCACGAAGAACUCCGAUUGCGAAGGCAGCUCACUGGACUGCAACUGACACUGAGGCUCGAAAGUGUGGGUAGCAAACAGGAUUAGAUACCCGGGUAGUC
rnacentral:rRNA from 1 species